ensembl:misc_RNA
GGUUCAGAUUAGUGACAGAAGUCCUCUCUUUAUCUAUAGAACAGGUACAGCACGGGCAGCAGCAAUGUGCCCCUACCCCAACAUAAGUGAACCACCUAUGUGCAGAAAGGUAAAUUGGUCUCCAUGUCCCUAGUGUGAACAAUGCCAAC